UUACUCCUACGGGGGGCAGCAGUAGGGAAUCUUCCACAAUGGGUGAAAGCCUGAUGGAGCAACGCCGCGUGGGUGAAGAAGGUCUUCGGAUCGUAAAACCCUGUUGUUAGAGAAGAAAGUGCGUGAGAGUAACUGUUCACGUUUCGACGGUAUCUAACCAGAAAGCCACGGCUAACUACGUGCCAGCAGCCGCGGUAAUACGUAGGUGGCAAGCGUUAUCCGGAUUUAUUGGGCGUAAAGGGAACGCAGGCGGUCUUUUAAGUGAGAUGUGAAAUACUCGGGCUCAACUUGAGUGCUUCAUUUCA
rnacentral:rRNA from 1 species